rnacentral:rRNA from 1 species
AUGGCAUGUGUUACGUCUGUCAGAUACUCAGUGAAGUUUAAUGGCAGGUUACUGGAAUCAUUUUCCCCGUCAAGGGGCUUGCGGCAAGGUGACCCCCUGUCCCCCUUUCUGUUCUUAUUUGUGGCUGAUGCCCUUUCUGCCUUGAUCAGUAAUUCUAUGCGGGAAGAGGGCUUGCAAGGGGUGAAUAUUUGUCGCGGAGCUCCUGUGAUUUCUCAUCUUCUUUUCGCGGAUGAUUCGCUGUUAUUUUUUCAUGCUACCGAACAACAAGCGGCACUGGUUAAAGAUUUGUUGAACACCUUCGAGAUGGCCACGGGCCAGUUGAUAAACCCUUCAAAGUGUUCCAUUCUUUUUUUAGACAAUUGCUUGGCGGCUACAGCGGCAAAUAUCAAGAGCUUGUUGGAGAUCACUCAGGAAGUGUUUGAGCCUAGAUACCUAGGUCUUCCAGUUCCAGAAGGGAAAAUGCACAAAGGCAAGUUUGAAACAAUACAAGAACACCUAAGGAAGAGACUAAUUGAUUGGAGUGAGAAAUAUAUGUCAUCAGGUAACAAAGAAAUCUUAAUAAAGUCUGUAGCUCAAGCUAUUCCAGCUUAUGUUAUGAGUGUGUUUAAGUUGCCAGCCUCGGUUUGUGAUGAGCUCACCCGUAUGAUGCGUCAAUACUGGUGGGGAGAGGAGAAUGGGAAGAAGAAAAUGGCAUGGACAAGUUGGGACAAAAUGAUUCUCCCCAAAGCUAUGGGGGGCAUGGGCUUCAGGGAUAUGCGAGUGUUCAACCAAGCGCUGCUGGCCAAGCAAGCGUGGAGGCUCCUUGUCUCUCCUGACAGCCUAGUUGCGAGACUAAUGAAGGCAAAAUAUUACCCUCAAGGUCAGUUAUUGGAUACAGUAUUUUCAAUCUCUGGAUCAGCUGUGUGGAAAGGCAUUCUGCAUGGUUUGGAGCUGCUCACAAAAGGUGUCAUAUGGCGGGUGGGGGACGGGGAGCUUAUUCGGACAUGGCGAGACCCUUGGAUCCCAAGGCCUUCUUCCUUCCGGCCGAUCACCCCAAAAGGCUCCUGCCGUCUCAAUCGUGUUUCUGCAUUUCUAAAUGCUAACGGGGCAUGGAGGGUUGAUCGCCUCCGUGAAUUUUUUUGGGAGAUGGAUGUUCAGCAUAUCCUCAAGAUCCGUACCUCUCCAAGACAGCGAUCUGAUUUCAUCUCGUGGUUCCAAGAGAAGAGUGGCGUUUUCUCUGUCAGAAGUGCAUACAGAUUAGCUACAUACGAUCACAAUACAACAUUUUCUGAAGGGGCAACAAGCGCGUCAGCGAGCGGUUCCCGUUCCUUAUGGAACUGCGUAUGGCAAGCAUCAGUCUCGCAG